GCCUGCUCCUGGGAUCACGCCUUUCUCUCCAAGAGGACUCCUCUUCUCCCUCUUCUCCGCUUGCUUGGUCGCUCUUCCUUCGUAAUCUCUUCGCACCCAAGUUGUCUUGCCCAGAAACAUCAAGGAAAUGCCCUGAGGCCUGAUCCUAGAGGAAAAACCAUCUCGGAGUAUAUCCCUUUAUUGCUUUCCUAUGGUGAGUAGAAUUGCGGAAAAUGGAACGUUGCCCAUUGGGAACCUGAGUCUAUACAAGCCCCCAGUAAAUGGCAAAGAAGUAAAAGGUGGAAGCUCCAUGAAGCCUGCAGAGGUCAUGCAGGCUUUCCUGGUUGAAAACGGAGAACAGUGUGGGGAUUCUUGGAUCAGGACUUCAGCCAUUGCCGUGGGACCUGCAGGCUCCACAGGCUUCUUUCAAUUUUGUUUGCUCUGUGGUUUGCUGAAACUAGCCUGCUUGACUCAAAGUGCAGAAUGCUGACACAUUUAGCCUCCAGUGUCCCUUUCUGGAUGUAGACCCAGACAUUUGGCAGUUACUGUCCCUUUACUCUGCUUAAUUCAAAUUGGAAUGGUGACACCCCAGAUUUAUUUGUUCUGAGGACCUAUGUGGUAUAUGAUAUUGGGUUUUAAUUGGGAACUUUAGAAACUGACCAUGGUGCCAUAGUGGAAUUCUCACCAAUGUCUUGUUUCAAAAAAGGUUAACUCAGAUAAUUAAGGACAUUGUUUUUUGUACAAUUGUUCCACGGUGACGUAUACAUUUCAUAUUAAUUCUCCUUAUUAAAGAACAUUAAUGUGGUAUUGUUCUUGCCCCAUCCUUCCUCUUCUUAAGAGAAACAGAAAAUUAUGAUUUAUGAGUUUUAGUUUUAUCAAAAGAUUGGCAUUGUAAUUCUGGCUGUUCAUGUAGUGGUAAAUCACCCAAGAAAAUUACUGCCUGAGUAUGGUAAACACAGCUUUCAGAAAUGCAACUAAGGAAUUUUUUAAGACAUCUUUUAAUGGCCCAUGUUCUUUAAAUACUGUAAUAUGAGGUGUUCUAAUUCAUCAUGAAAAUAUAACACACUUGCCAUGGCUUAGUAUGUUGUAUUAGUUUUCUACUGCUGUGUAACAAAUUCUCACAAACUCACUGAAACAAUGUACACUUGUUACUUCAGAGUUUUCGGGUGUUAGUUGGGUCCUCUGCUCAGGGCCUCACCAGGCUAUGGCCAAGGCACUUGUCUGGCUUGGUUCUUAUCUGGAGGCUCCAUUUGGGAAAAUGUUAUUGGCAGAAUUUGUUGUGGGUAUACAAAUUAGGACCCUGCCUUUAGGACCCUCCAGCUGUCUGUUGGCUGGAGGAUGCCCUGAGGUUUGGAGGCCACCCACAAGUCCUAGGGGUCAACAGUCAUUCCUAGAGACCAUUCUCACUUCUUUGCCAUGGGAAGGCCUAGGCUCAACAUGGCUACUCACUCCAAUCAAGUCAGCAAGGCAGAUCUCCCUGGUGCUUCCUAGCACAAUGAAUACACACACACGUACAUAUGUAUCAUAGCAUGGGCUUGACAUUGACAUUUGUGACAUCCAUCAUCUUUGUUAUACUCUAUUGGUUAGAAGCAAGACCCCAUGUCUUACCGGCAUUCAAGAGGAAAAGGUUCCACAAAGGCACGGAUACCAAGAGAUCGGGUCAUGUGGUUCGUUCUAGCCAAUUGAAUGGGAAAAGAAGUAAUGCACCACAUCUGGUCCAAAUUAGUGAAGCACAAGUAUACUUUCUCCAUCUGUCAACAGAAGAUACUAGUGUGACCUUGAAGUCCCAAGGUGAAGAUGGUGAAGUUCUAGCAUGAAAGAAGUUUGAAUCCCUAAAUAACUACUUGGGGGACAGUAAACCUAUUGACCUGCAUUGGACAGUCAUGUCAGCAAGAUAUAAAUUUUUAUUGUGUAAAG